UACGGAGGGGGCUAGCGUUGUCCGGAAUCAUUGGGCGUAAAGAGCGUGUAGGCGGCCAGAAAAGUCCGCUGUGAAAACUCGAGGCUCAACUUCGAGCUGUCGGUGGAAACUUUCUGGCUAGAGUCCGGAAGAGGAGAAUGGAAUUCCUGGUGUAGCGGUGAAAUGCGCAGAUAUCAGGAAGAACACCCGUGGCGAAGGCGGUUCUCUGGGACGGUACUGACGCUGAGACGCGAAAGCGUGGGGAGCGAACAGG
rnacentral:rRNA from 1 species